GAGAUAAAAAGAAUCCAUUGACAGUACUAGCAUGGCGUUCUCAUUAAUAGGCCUUAUUUUAUAACUUUGUCAUGUUUUUGCAUUGGCAGAAUUAUUAUCGGUGAUUAGUAUCAUCAUCAUGGGCAUUCUAGUUUUCAGCGAGCUCCAUCAUUGUUGAAUACUAUACAAUUAAUAUGUUCAAGCAUGGACAACAAUAACUUCCAUUUUGAUGUGUCUGUGUCCUCCAUGAUUGACGGGAAAGUUUUGGUUACUCCAGUCUGUUGCAUCUUGAAGAAACUCUGUGUGGUAUUGUUGUGGCAAAUACUGCAGCUGUCCAAGGAGUGUACGCAGGACCCUUAAUUAUAAGCAGUGAUGCUACUGAUCUUACUCAGCGUUGCACUCUUUAAAGAAAGACAUAAAAUAUGAAUAGGGUAACUUAUCUACAGUUAGCGUACCGCUCAGUUCUUCCUUACUGAAGAUGUCGAGAUUUUCACAUGGCUUAUAUGACUUUUUUUCGAGUACUUCAAAACCAACAGAUUCAAAUAGUUUCUGGGUGUCAUCCAGAUUCAAAUGAUUGUACAUUUUAUGAACGUAUCCCUACAAAGUAGAAAAGGUGAUGGAAGAUGAAUCAUUUACAAAGAGUAACAGGUGGAGUAACAGGUGGAACAUAAGUUUAUUUACAUUUAGAUGGUAAUAACAAGUUUGCAAACCUC